rnacentral:rRNA from 1 species
AGAGUUUGAUCCUGGCUCAGGAUGAACGCUGGCGGCGUGCUUAAUACAUGCAAGUCGAACGAAGCACUUCUCCCGUUGAUUGAAUUAGCUUGCUAAUGAUUGAAACAAUUGAAGUGACUGAGUGGCGGACGGGUGAGUAACGCGUGGGUAACCUGCCUUGUACAGGGGGAUAACAGUUGGAAACGACUGCUAAUACCGCAUAAGCGCACAGUACCGCAUGGUACGGUGUGAAAAACUCCGGUGGUACAAGAUGGACCCGCGUCUGAUUAGCUAGUUGGUGAGGUAACGGCCCACCAAGGCAACGAUCAGUAGCCGACUUGAGAGAGUGAUCGGCCACAUUGGGACUGAGACACGGCCCAAACUCCUACGGGAGGCAGCAGUAGGGAAUAUUGCACAAUGGGGGAAACCCUGAUGCAGCGACGCCGCGUGAAGGAUGAAGUAUUUCGGUAUGUAAACUUCUAUCAGCAAGGAAGAAAAUGACGGUACUUGACUAAGAAGCCCCGGCUAAAUACGUGCCAGCAGCCGCGGUAAUACGUAUGGGGCAAGCGUUAUCCGGAUUUACUGGGUGUAAAGGGAGCGUAGGCGGCAUGGCAAGUCAGAAGUGAAAGCCUGGGGCUCAACCCCGGAAUUGCUUUUGAAACUGUCAGGCUAGAGUGUCGGAGGGGUAAGCGGAAUUCCUAGUGUAGCGGUGAAAUGCGUAGAUAUUAGGAGGAACACCAGUGGCGAAGGCGGCUUACUGGACGAUUACUGACGCUGAGGCUCGAAAGCGUGGGGAGCAAACAGGAUUAGAUACCCUGGUAGUCCACGCC